rnacentral:lncRNA from 1 species
CAAAGUUCCCGGUUCAAUCACUUAUUUUGCUUGUUUCUGUCUUCAUUCAUCCUUGCAGCUCAUCCUUGUACCUCUCCACUCAGCGGGUCAUGGAGAAGUUGCAUCAUCCAUGUGCUCCAUGGUUGGAUCCAUGGCUCAGACAGUGAAAGAAAGAACAUGCUGGUUGAACCUAAGCAGGAUCCCCUUUUAUAUCCUUUUGAACACCUUUUAUUUUCCAGUUCAUAGGCUGAUUCUGGAUGCUUUAGCAGGGAAGGCAUGAAAUCUUGGGUUUUCUUCUGGCUUUGCUACCGGACCAUCGUGUGGCCUUGGGUCUGGGGAAAAAAAAGAAACAGGACUCAGGUGGAGAAUGAAUGCUUUGAAGAGGUUUCCACCCCAUAACCUAAGUCAUGGUCCCUGCCUGCACACCAGCCUUCUCCACAAUACAGAUCCUACAGCCUGCAGAUGCUUGGGCCAAAUGCUCCUACCUGUGUGCACGCCUCUUUGGGUUUGCUGUCGCAUUGACAACACUGACUAUUCAUGGAAAAGUGUGGAUUCAGACACAAGGAGGCAGAUACCAAAACCACAAUAGGACAAAUAUGAUCUUUACUGGCUCGGAGGAAAGAAAACUUGUGCAAAAAUUUUAAUGAAUGAAAAUGCUUUCCCUGUGAGAAAUGCUUUCCCAUUAGGAUCCUGUACGAUGAAGUGCAACGACUCUCUGCUGUGAAUAAUUUUUGCCUGGUCUGUCGUCUCUUCCAAAUUAUUUACUACGUGCAAAGUCAGCCAGAAUUCAGAAGAAAUUGGGCUCGUCGUGACGUAACGGGAGAUGUGUGGGAACAAAAGGGCAUUCCUUUAUCCUUGCCUGCAACCGGAGCUCGGCAGCUUUGAAAGCUUCUCAAGUCUUCCACCAAACUCCUACUCCCUCUUUUCUUUUUUUUUUUUUUUUUUUUUUUUUUUUUUUUUUUUUUCACCUCAGCUUCUCUCUUAGGGUAAAAGCGGUCGUCCUAGGAAGUCAGCAGAGCUGCCCCGAAACACCACCGCUCCCCCUGCCCCGGGUACGGCUUUGGAGGAUGUUUUUAAAGGCAGAUCAAGUUGUAAAUGGCAGGGAUUUCUUCCAACGGCCCUUGUCGGGCUGGCAGACCCCGGAUUUACACUCGUCCUCACCGUCCUGCAUGGGGCUGGAUCUUGGCGGCUGCCCUGAAUAGGGCUUUUGCAGGAGAUGGGAUUACUCACACGAGUAACAGCUUGCAGGGAUUUGGCCUCCCGUUCCUGCUCAAAACACAUGAUUUUUUUUAAGCGUAAUUAAAGUGGUGCUAUAAG